ensembl:lncRNA MALAT1 metastasis associated lung adenocarcinoma transcript 1
AGGCAUUGAGGCAGCCAGCGCAGGGGCUUCUGCUGAGGGGGCAGGCGGAGCUUGAGGAAACCGCAGAUAAGUUUUUUUCUCUUUGAAAGAUAGAGAUUAAUACAACUACUUAAAAAAUAUAGUCAAUAGGUUACUAAGAUAUUGCUUAGCGUUAAGUUUUUAACGUAAUUUUAAUAGCUUAAGAUUUUAAGAGAAAAUAUGAAGACUUAGAAGAGUAGCAUGAGGAAGGAAAAGAUAAAAGGUUUCUAAAACAUGACGGAGGUUGAGAUGAAGCUUCUUCAUGGAGUAAAAAAUGUAUUUAAAAGAAAAUUGAGAGAAAGGACUACAGAGCCCCGAAUUAAUACCAAUAGAAGGGCAAUGCUUUUAGAUUAAAAUGAAGGUGACUUAAACAGCUUAAAGUUUAGUUUAAAAGUUGUAGGAUGAAACAAUUUGGAGAAGAUAGAAGUUUGAAGUGGAAAACUGGAAGACAGAAGUACGGGAAGGCGAAGAAAAGAAUAGAGAAGAUAGGGAAAUUAGAAGAUAAAAACAUACUUUUAGAAGAAAAAAGAUAAAUUUAAACCUGAAAAGUAGGAAGCAGAAGAAAAAAGACAAGCUAGGAAACAAAAAGCUAAGGGCAAAAUGUACAAACUUAGAAGAAAAUUGGAAGAUAGAAACAAGAUAGAAAAUGAAAAUAUUGUCAAGAGUUUCAGAUAGAAAAUGAAAAACAAGCUAAGACAAGUAUUGGAGAAGUAUAGAAGAUAGAAAAAUAUAAAGCCAAAAAUUGGAUAAAAUAGCACUGAAAAAAUGAGGAAAUUAUUGGUAACCAAUUUAUUUUAAAAGCCCAUCAAUUUAAUUUCUGGUGGUGCAGAAGUUAGAAGGUAAAGCUUGAGAAGAUGAGGGUGUUUACGUAGACCAGAACCAAUUUAGAAGAAUACUUGAAGCUAGAAGGGGAAGUUGGUUAAAAAUCACAUCAAAAAGCUACUAAAAGGACUGGUGUAAUUUAAAAAAAACUAAGGCAGAAGGCUUUUGGAAGAGUUAGAAGAAUUUGGAAGGCCUUAAAUAUAGUAGCUUAGUUUGAAAAAUGUGAAGGACUUUCGUAACGGAAGUAAUUCAAGAUCAAGAGUAAUUACCAACUUAAUGUUUUUGCAUUGGACUUUGAGUUAAGAUUAUUUUUUAAAUCCUGAGGACUAGCAUUAAUUGACAGCUGACCCAGGUGCUACACAGAAGUGGAUUCAGUGAAUCUAGGAAGACAGCAGCAGACAGGAUUCCAGGAACCAGUGUUUGAUGAAGCUAGGACUGAGGAGCAAGCGAGCAAGCAGCAGUUCGUGGUGAAGAUAGGAAAAGAGUCCAGGAGCCAGUGCGAUUUGGUGAAGGAAGCUAGGAAGAAGGAAGGAGCGCUAACGAUUUGGUGGUGAAGCUAGGAAAAAGGAUUCCAGGAAGGAGCGAGUGCAAUUUGGUGAUGAAGGUAGCAGGCGGCUUGGCUUGGCAACCACACGGAGGAGGCGAGCAGGCGUUGUGCGUAGAGGAUCCUAGACCAGCAUGCCAGUGUGCCAAGGCCACAGGGAAAGCGAGUGGUUGGUAAAAAUCCGUGAGGUCGGCAAUAUGUUGUUUUUCUGGAACUUACUUAUGGUAACCUUUUAUUUAUUUUCUAAUAUAAUGGGGGAGUUUCGUACUGAGGUGUAAAGGGAUUUAUAUGGGGACGUAGGCCGAUUUCCGGGUGUUGUAGGUUUCUCUUUUUCAGGCUUAUACUCAUGAAUCUUGUCUGAAGCUUUUGAGGGCAGACUGCCAAGUCCUGGAGAAAUAGUAGAUGGCAAGUUUGUGGGUUUUUUUUUUUUACACGAAUUUGAGGAAAACCAAAUGAAUUUGAUAGCCAAAUUGAGACAAUUUCAGCAAAUCUGUAAGCAGUUUGUAUGUUUAGUUGGGGUAAUGAAGUAUUUCAGUUUUGUGAAUAGAUGACCUGUUUUUACUUCCUCACCCUGAAUUCGUUUUGUAAAUGUAGAGUUUGGAUGUGUAACUGAGGCGGGGGGGAGUUUUCAGUAUUUUUUUUUGUGGGGGUGGGGGCAAAAUAUGUUUUCAGUUCUUUUUCCCUUAGGUCUGUCUAGAAUCCUAAAGGCAAAUGACUCAAGGUGUAACAGAAAACAAGAAAAUCCAAUAUCAGGAUAAUCAGACCACCACAGGUUUACAGUUUAUAGAAACUAGAGCAGUUCUCACGUUGAGGUCUGUGGAAGAGAUGUCCAUUGGAGAAAUGGCUGGUAGUUACUCUUUUUUCCCCCCACCCCCUUAAUCAGACUUUAAAAGUGCUUAACCCCUUAAACUUGUUAUUUUUUACUU